rnacentral:rRNA from 1 species
GAUUAACGCUGGCGGCGUGCCUAACACAUGCAAGUCGAGCGGCAGCGAGUUUUCCACUGCAUUCUGGAAGCUUCUAGUUGAAAGAGAAGAUUUAUUCAAGAAUUUUGUGUAAAAUGUCGGCGAGCGGCGGACGGCUGAGUAACGCGUGGGAACGUACCCCAAAGUGAGGGAUAACGCAUCGAAAGGUGUGCUAAUACCGCAUAUGGUCUUCGGAUUAAAGCCUUCGGGCGCUUUGGGAACGGCCUGCGUAAGAUUAGAUAGUUGGUGGGGUAAUGGCCUACCAAGUCGACGAUCGUUAACUGGUGUGAGAGGAUGAUCAGUCAGACUGGAACUGAGACACGGUCCAGACUCCUACGGGAGGCAGCAGUGAGGAAUCUUCCACAAUGGGCGAAAGCCUGAUGGAGCAACGCCGCGUGCAGGAUGAAGGCCUUCGGGUUGUAAACUGCUUUUAUAAGUGAGGAUUAUGACAGUAACUUAUGAAUAAGGAUCGGCUAACUACGUG